GUUGCAGUGGCGGGUGUUUUGCCCAGUUAAGCAAGUGAGCAAUGUUGUGUUGCUGGUUGACAUGUACAGCAGAGCAAGAUAGAUUGAAGGAAGACGUUGAAACCUUGUUUAUGUUGGCAGCAGGUGAGGUUGCGAAAAAGCCCUAAGAGAAAGUAACAAACAAAGGGUGUGUCUGGAGGGAGGCUGAAUUCACAAACCUUUGCACAACCCGUAGGCAACACGUGCAAAAGCCAGGUGAUUCAGAGCUGCUUUUCCUACGCUCCUGUGACCUAAAUCCUCCAACAACAGGGACUCCUGUGUGCAGGCAUGAGAAGCACCUGGCCUCUGACUGCCAUCAGACAGCCUUUCUCCCAUCUUGCGUGGCCCAGAUGAGAUCACACCAUGAUGCUGACUCAGUGCUACAGAAAGGAGUUGCGUCAUGAAGCCCUGAUGAGGCGAGAUGAUGCUGUGAUGUCAGGAAGGUGGAAUCUGCGUAUCCUGCUGGAAUGAACAGACAAACACCAAGCUGAGCUCCUCUGUCAUCCCCAGCGUUCUUGGAUCUUUUUGCCAUCUUGUUUGUGAUUCAAUCUUUUGAGGCAACCUGGUGUUUGUAUGGUGGUUUUUUUUUUCCCACGAUUGAAAGAUGUUCUCAUCUGCACAUUAUUCCUUGUCUGAAUUUCCACAGGUAGCGUCUAGACAGAUAUCACUGCUCUGAGAGAAAGACGAGUGGAAAAGCAACCUUUUUACUCCUGCAUAUCUAAGAAGCUUUUCUGGGAGGGAGAAAGUACACUCUCUCCUUUGAACAACACACUGACUAUCUAAAAUCAGACCAUGGUAGAGGCAAGCAGGGACACAGUGUGUAGGAAAUACAAUAUUCAGGUAGGGCAGCCAACACAGCGUUCCGCUGUGCCUUAGUCCACAUAAAUCAGCUAGACGUCUCACAGGCAGAACACUACAAAAAAGGUCUCCAGAAAGCACUCCAACACAGAGAAAGCAGAACUUUAUGAAUCAGCUCCGUGUACAUUGAGGUCAGCAAGGAGGAAGGCAGAAGGAUAUUAACAUAAGCAGGGUCAUUUAUUAAAGGCUGAAGCUCCAAAAAAGAAGGGCAGGGAUUGUUGAUUUCAGAGAUCAUGUGCAACAACUGCCAGAAAGGGACUUCCCUCCUCUGCUUCUGACCUCCACUCGUACUUUUACUGUUCUGUUUUAUAUCUAUAUGUUGAGGCUCCCAAACCCUCAGAGCUGCGUUCCUCUGCAAUAUUUUUAUGUAAUGCAUUUAUUUUAACAGCUUCCCUACAUGGACUGUGUGCAGUUCUUUGGGGACAAGGCCAUUUUUCAAAGUUAGUGCUGCAGAGACAAUAAAAAAGAGUUAAAACAGAUUAGAGUUUUGACU
rnacentral:lncRNA from 1 species